CUUUGUGGUUCAACUGAUUUGAAGAGCUUGCUCAGAUAUGACGAUGGACAUUGCAAAGAGUGGCGAACGGGUGAGUAACACGUGGGAAACCUACCUCUUAGCAGGGGAUAACAUUUGGAAACAGAUGCUAAUACCGUAUAACAAUGACAACCGCAUGGUUGUUAUUUAAAAGAUGGUUCUGCUAUCACUAAGAGAUGGUCCCGCGGUGCAUUAGCUAGUUGGUAAGGUAAUGGCUUACCAAGGCGAUGAUGCAUAGCCGAGUUGAGAGACUGAUCGGCCACAAUGGGACUGAGACACGGCCCAUACUCCUACGGGAGGCAGCAGUAGGGAAUCUUCCACAAUGGGCGAAAGCCUGAUGGAGCAACGCCGCGUGUGUGAUGAAGGGUUUCGGCUCGUAAAACACUGUUGUAAGAGAAGAAUGACAUUGAGAGUAACUGUUCAAUGUGUGACGGUAUCUUACCAGAAAGGAACGGCUAAAUACGUGCCAGCAGCCGCGGUAAUACGUAUGUUCCAAGCGUUAUCCRGAUUUAUUGGGCGUAAAGCGAGCGCAGACGGUUAUUUAAGUCUGAAGUGAAAGCCCUCAGCUCAACUGAGGAAUUGCUUUGGAAACUGGAUGACUUGAGUGCAGUAGAGGAAAGUGGAACUCCAUGUGUAGCGGUGAAAUGCGUAGAUAUAUGGAAGAACACCAGUGGCGAAGGCGGCUUUCUGGACUGUAACUGACGUUGAGGCUCGAAAGUGUGGGUAGCAAACAGGAUUAGAUACCCUGGUAGUCCACACCGUAAACGAUUAGUGCUAGGUGUUUGAGGGUUUCCGCCCUUAAGUGCCGCAGCUAACGCAUUAAGCACUCCGCCUGGGGAGUACGACCGCAAGGUUGAAACUCAAAGGAAUUGACGGGGACCCGCACAAGCGGUGGAGCAUGUGGUUUAAUUCGAAGCAACGCGAAGAACCUUACCAGGUCUUGACAUCCCUUGACAACUCCAGAGAUGGAGCGUUCCCUUCGGGGACAAGGUGACAGGUGGUGCAUGGUUGUCGUCAGCUCGUGUCGUGAGAUGUUGGGUUAAGUCCCGCAACGAGCGCAACCCUUAUUACUAGUUGCCAGCAUUCAGUUGGGCACUCUAGUGAGACUGCCGGUGACAAACCGGAGGAAGGUGGGGAUGACGUCAAAUCAUCAUGCCCCUUAUGACCUGGGCUACACACGUGCUACAAUGGCGUAUACAACGAGUUGCCAACCCGCGAGGGUGAGCUAAUCUCUUAAAGUACGUCUCAGUUCGGAUUGUAGGCUGCAACUCGCCUACAUGAAGUCGGAAUC
rnacentral:rRNA from 1 species